rnacentral:rRNA from 1 species
ACGAACGCUGGCGGCAGGCCUAACACCUGCAAGUCGAGCGGACCCUUCGGGGUUAGCGGCGGACGGGUGAGUAACGCGUGGGAAUAUGCCCUUCUCUACGGAAUAGUCCUGGGAAACUGGGGGUAAUACCGUAUACGCCCUUUGGGGGAAAGAUUUAUCGGGGAAGGAUUAGCCCGCGUUGGAUUAGGUAGUUGGUGGGGUAAUGGCCUACCAAGCCGACGAUCCAUAGCUGGUUUGAGAGGAUGAUCAGCCACACUGGGACUGAGACACGGCCCAGACUCCUACGGGAAGCAGCAGUGGGGAAUCUUAGACAAUGGGGGCAACCCUGAUCUAGCCAUGCCGCGUGAGUGAUGAAGGCCUUAGGGUUGUAAAGCUCUUUCAGCUGGGAAGAUAAUGACGGUACCAGCAGAAGAAGCCCCGGCUAACUCCGUG